AUCAGCCUUCUCGCUCCGCGGCCCUGCAGGACCUGCCCGCCGGGAGCCCCGGAGUCCGCGGCAGCGCCGAGGGCCCCUCCCCCAGGCCUCUGGGCUCUGAGGCUCAUCCAUGGAAUACCAAUUCUUUUUCUUAGUGUUCACAUUGGAUUUUUCUGUUAAAAAUAGAUUGUUGGAGUUGGCUAACAAGUUGAUUACUUCCAGUCAGGCACUCUCUUCUGUAAAGUCUCUUUUGUAAACUCCUACAAGCAGCUAUUUCACUGGAUUUGAAAAGACUGACUAAAAAGAACCAUGCACUGUAACUCUCAAGUAUACAGGAAUAUUGUUAUUAGGAUGGGACGUGCUGCUCUAUGGGACCUUCAGAAUCCAUGUAAGAGACCCCUAUGCUUAAGCCUCUCUGGAUGGGCUUCAGCUCCUCACAGCCCAGGGACCAUGCCUGGCCGGAUGCUGCCGCCUGGCUUCAGUGCCAUCUGCAUGUCCUCAGGGAUGACAAAGGACUCAUUGUACCAGAUGUCAAAUUCUACAAGGAGAGACGGGGUCUCACUGUAUUGCCCAGGCUGGUCUCGAACUCCUGUACUCAAGCAAUCCACCCGCCUCAGCCUCCCAAAGUGCUGAGAUUACAGGCGUGAGCCACUUCGCCUGGCCUAGGAGAUAUGAGUUUACUUGAUCUGUUCAAGUAAAUUCAAUAAAAUAAAGUCUUCAUCUGUCACCCAGACUGGAGUGCAGUGGCGCAAUCUUGCCUCACUACAACCUCUGCCUCCUGGGCUCAAGCGAUUUUCAUGCCUCAGCCUCCCAAGAUGCUAGGAUUACAAGUGUGUGCCACCACGCCCUGCUCCUCUGAGAAAUAAAUGAGUAAAAUGCACCCCCUGUGAGUGAGAUGAUGCAUCUGACUUGCAGGAAUAAACCAAGUGACAUCUGGAGAUCACUCAUGGAAGCUGGCCUGGAACAGGGUUGUGAUUUAGCGAGGGAAAGCCCAGUAACCUGUGGUGUUUCCUGUCUGGAAGAAGACAGUAAGACUGAGCCAGGAGUGUGAAGAACAGUGUGGCCUCUGAACCACCUGUCCCAGAGUUGGAAUGGUCACUCACUAAAAUGCAGGUCCUGGGCCCUGCUCCAUCUCUCCCAAGUCAGAACCACUGGCUGAGGGGCUGGGAAUCUGCACUUGACCAGCCCUCUCAGAUAAGUCAUCUGAACACGCAAGCUUGGUGGGCCUUGGCCCUCAGUGCAGGUGUGGGCGGCGCACGCCACCAGGACAAGGACACUGGGUCAGAGUAACCAGGUACUCUUCACAUGUUGAGGAUCACAUAUGGUUUUGUUUGAUCUGGUGCAGAAGCUAACAUUAGCUGAUUACCUAAUUGGGCGUAAUUCCUCCUUCGGGGAGUCUGAGGGAAGGGGCUCAAUGCUGGAAGUUUCCCGGUCCCGCGAAAGCAUGUCUUUGACAUCCCCAUCUUUGGAGGAUGGGACCAGCUGGGUCUUGGAGGUGGAAACGUAAUCCAAGUCCUUCCCAUUCACAGGGCUGCUGGCACCUUCCUUUCUUGCCAAGGAGCUGGAAGAAGGCACGGAAGCCCCAGGGUUCAGUCAUGGACAGUGAGUUAUCAGAUGCCAGGAUGAGUGACCUUUCUCAGCACUGACUACACUGGGAACCCCACCUCAUUCAGCUCCCAUCUUGUUCAUAUGCCUAGGUAAAAGCGCAAAUAGUGUGAUGCUAAGCCAGGCAGAUGUGGAGGAAGAAGAGGGCAUUUUUCUCCCUUUUAUCAGAACAAAGAGCCCUCGGUGGUCUUGGCAGGAGACGCUUGGGAAAAAUGGGUACAAUCUCCAGGGAUUGAAAGUGUAUGGACCUGUAGGAUGGGCCACAGGUUCUCAGGAACCACCACGGCUGCUGAGGUCUGAGUCAUACAGGCUUCCCCGGGAAGGACUGGCAGAGCCCCACACAGGGUGGUUCUGUCUGUGGAUCAAUGGUAAAGCAGGAUGGCUCUGCCCUGCUGUUCUUACUGGUCCACACCCUGUUCUCCACACCAGCUCCCAGAAAAGUAGCUGUCCUCCCUGCUGAAGUGACAGUGCUUGGUGCCUUUCUCCGAGAAGAGGCAGAUCUGAGGACCGAACUGGCAGGAGGAUGCCCAUGGCUCUUCCCAAAGGUCUGAGGAUAGAAAAUCUGUUUCUUCCUCUUUCCUCCUCCUUGCAACGAGUAUGGCUCAGGGAACUGAGCCUCAACCCAUUGAAUACUGCACUGAUUAUCCGGAAGCAGAACAGAGAGGGUUGGGGUGUGACUGCACUCAUGAAGAGGCAGGAGGAAGCCAGGGACACUGGCAUCCUCUGCUGCCUGACUCUUGUCCUGCGUGUAACAGUUUUCUACAAUC
rnacentral:lncRNA from 1 species